ACGCACGCUGGCGGCGUGCUUCACCCAUGCAAGUCGCACGGAAAGGCCCUGCUUUUGUGGGGUGCUCGAGUGGCGAACGGGUGAGUAACACGUGAGUAACCUGCCCUUGACUUUGGGAUAACUUCAGGAAACUGGGGCUAAUACCGGAUAGGAGCUCCUGCUGCAUGGUGGGGGUUGGAAAGUUUCGGCGGUUGGGGAUGGACUCGCGGCUUAUCAGCUUGUUGGUGGGGUAGUGGCUUACCAAGGCUUUGACGGGUAGCCGGCCUGAGAGGGUGACCGGCCACAUUGGGACUGAGAUACGGCCCAGACUCCUACGGGAGGCAGCAGUGGGGAAUAUUGCACAAUGGGCGGAAGCCUGAUGCAGCAACGCCGCGUGCGGGAUGACGGCCUUCGGGUUGUAAACCGCUUUCGCCUGUGACGAAGCGUGAGUGACGGUAAUGGGUAAAGAAGCACCGGCCAACUACGUG
rnacentral:rRNA from 1 species